GAUUCACUAGCUCAGUGGUAGACCGUCUAUUUAGUUUUCAGCAUGGUCGCAGGUUCGAAUCCUGCCGGAGGCG
rnacentral:tRNA from 1 species